GCAGGCGUCAUUCUGGCUGUACUUUUCCCCCAGCUCCUCCCCAAAGUGCUGUUUGCGUCACCAGCUUGUGAAGCUCUGGAGGACAGGGCAGUGUAGCCGGAAGAUCAGGCCCCAGGGCACUCGACCUAGGGGCAUAUUCCCAACCCACGAGACUUUAGGGCCGGGACUCCGCCUUUUUCCGUGCCCCUGGCGGUGGCAUUUCCUGCGCUCCUCUCCGCGGUGAUAAGCAGGCUGGACGCCGCUGCACGCUCCGGUCCACAGGGGCAGAAUGUGGGCCUGGCGGGUGCGCAUCGCAGUCCUCAGUGUGGCCACAGGAAAGCUAGUCAAGAUCCUCCAGGACUGCCCAUUGGACAGAGGGGACACUGGGGACCAGAGAGGGUGGCAGAUCCAGGCCUGGGAUUCCCACCUGAUUCCUACCUGGAAAAGCCUCUGAGACCUAAGGCCACCCUCAUCCGGAUCCACUGAGCCCAGGAUGCAGACCUUUCCUGCGUUUUGAAGCCAAUAAGCUUCAUGCCACACACUCGUGACACCAGAGUGGAGCAGAAGGAAGCUAGGUGCAGAGCUGGGCUUUCCCAGACGCCACCCCUGUCACCAAGGACCUCACUGCAGUGUCCUCCCUGCU